AGAGCUGAGUUGACUUCAGAGUAGAAAAGCUGAGCUCAGCAACACACACUCAGAUGCUCCUUGCCUCUUUGGCUUCUCAGAUUAUGCUCCCCCAGUGCCGGGGAUACAAAUAUGUCUUGCCCAAACUUUUCUUGCCUUUUUUUUUUUUUUUUUCUAAGUUAAGCAAAGAGAUUAUGUUCCUCAUUCAUGGAGGUUACUCAAAGCCCUGGCUGGAAACAGUACAUAGUGAGACAGAACACGAGAGGAGGAGGGGCAGAGAGAGAAGGAGACAGAGAAUCUGAUGCAGGCUCCAGGCUCUGAGCAAGCGUUCAUCACAGAGCCCAAUGGGGGGCUCAAACCCAUCAUGACCUGAACUGAAGCUGGACUCCUAACCGACUGAGCCACCCAGGAAGCCACAACUCUCAGCCUCCCAAAUGGGGAAGAGGAGCUGUGGGGUGUAGGACUGGCUUCCUAUUUCCACUGAGCCACAGCAAUGAAACUCAGAGCCUGGGGAGUGUUUCUCCAAGCGAGUGAGGGCUGAAGGACGGGAGGAGCCACAGCCCCUGGUCCCACAACUGAACAGAAACCCCACCACUGGCAAGGCAACCAGCGGCCAGUGGUUUUCUCUCCUUGGGGUUGGGCAGAGAAGCCUAAGAAGCCACCAAAGGCCGGAGAGGAGGAGCCCCACCUCUGUGUUCUCUGAGCAGUUCUGCUUUUAUCUCUCUUAGUUAUCGCUGUUCCAUUUUAAGCUUCAUUUGAAUAAAGAGUUUUGCUGCUAUGUAUGAAUACUCACACACACACACACACUCUCACACACGCUAGACUUUUUUUUUUUUUUUUUAACUAGACCUUUUCCUUUUAGCUUCCCUUACUUUCCCUGCUGGACAGAUAUACAAAAAUGAGGGGCUCACAUUUGGAUCAAUUCAUGCCCUGUAAGGCCAAGGACAAUUGGUGUGCCCUGAGAGGAGAAUAAGGAGAGAGUAUUUAGAGAGAGCCACAGCUUCUGGG